AACCCCGCCAAGGACCCACGCUGAGAAGAAAUAGAAAUCCAGGGGCCUAGGUGCAAAAGUACGAUAGAUGAACCACGUGAAGGACGUGAUAUUGGAACCGAACACGAAGACGAUGUUUGGUGGACAUAUUCAGAAGAGGCAAAGAACCAGGAGUACAUGCUUGGACCGGAAUACUCGCCAAGCGAGUGUCAUCUAACAAACACUGACCUAGUGUUAAUCCCAGG